GGGAUUAGAUACCCCACUAUAUAAAAUAAUUUAAAUCAAUUUAUUAGUAAAUGUAUAAUCAUUAAAAUUAAAUUAUAUGGCGGCUUUUCAUUCUUAUUAGAGAAAUUUGUAGUUUAAUUUGAUAAUCCACGAUAAGAUCUACUUAAAUUAUAUUUAUAUAUUGUUGUCAUUAGUUAUUAUAAAAAAUAAUUUUUAACUAAUAUUUAAUUUAAAAUAAUUAAUCAAAUCAAAAUGUAGUAUAUUUAAGAAUUUAUGAAUUAUAAUAAAUUUUAUUUUUGGAUAAUUAAUUUUAAUAUUAAUUUGAAAGUGAAUUUAAAAGUAAAUUUAAUAAAUUAAUUAAAUUGAAAUUAGUUUUGAAAAGUGUACAAAUUGCCCGUCAAUUUCGAAAAUAAGGAAUAAGUCGUAACAUA
rnacentral:rRNA from 1 species